rnacentral:miRNA from 1 species
UUUGGUAUCGCACAAUGGGUAA